UGGGUUGGCCAAAAAGUUCGUUCGGAUUUUUCCCAAACGAACUUUUUGGUCAAACCA
rnacentral:miRNA from 1 species